rnacentral:rRNA from 1 species
CCUACGGGUGGCAGCAGUGAGGAAUAUUGGUCAAUGGUCGGGAGACUGAACCAGCCAAGCCGCGUGAGGGAUGAAGGUACAGAGUAUCGUAAACCUCUUUUGUCAGGGAACAAAGGCGGGGACGUGUCCCCGGAUGAGUGUACCUGAAGAAAAAGCAUCGGCUAACUCCGUGCCAGCAGCCGCGGUAAUACGGAGGAUGCGAGCGUUAUCCGGAUUUAUUGGGUUUAAAGGGUGCGCAGGCGGUCUGUUAAGUCAGCGGUAAAAGCCCGGGGCUCAACCCCGGCCCGCAGUUGAAACUGGCAGUCUCGAGUUGGAGAGAAGUAUGCGGAAUGCGCGGUGUAGCGGUGAAAUGCAUAGAGAUCGCGAAGAACUCCGAUUGCGAAGGCAGCAUGCCGGCUCCACACUGACGCUGAGGUACGAAAGCGUGGGUAUCGAACAGGAUUAGAUACCCUGGUAGUC